UACGUAGGGGGGCAAGCGUUGUCCGGAAUCAUUGGGCGUAAAGCGCGUGUAGGCGGCCUUGUAAGUCCGUUCUGAAAGCCCGGGGCUCAACCCCGGGAGGCGGAUGGAUACUGCAGGGCUUGAGUACGGAAGAGGCGAGUGGAAUUCCCGGUGUAGCGGUGAAAUGCGCAGAUAUCGGGAGGAACACCAAUGGCGAAGGCAGCUCGCUGGGACGUGGACUGACGCUGAGACGCGAAAGCGUGGGGAGGCAAACAGG
rnacentral:rRNA from 1 species